rnacentral:piRNA from 1 species
UNGAAGAGUGCUAGGGUGUGAGACAGGA